rnacentral:lncRNA from 1 species
AAUCAGAUCUUCUGCCUGUUGAAACAUCUGACCUCUUUGACAGGACUGGACCGUCCUCAUCCAGACCUCUUUAGGUACUGUUUAUAAGUACCAACAGACCCAGUGGACCAAUGCACCCUGUACAUGGUCCCACCGAAGUUGGUCUGCUAUGGACCUCUGAGGAAUUCAUUAAUUUUCCAAAAUAAACAUAGAAGAUUCUUACGUUAAUGUAAUUGCUCAGUUCAAAGAUCAGCAAGCUCUGGCCAUGAGACAAGUUGCCCAUUUUUACAAAUAGAAUUGUAUUGAAAUACAGCCGUGGCCAUUUGUUAACAUACCGUCUAGCGCUGCUUUGGGGUGUGAUGGAAGCAUUGCAAAGCCUAAAAUAUUUACUACUUGACCCUUCAAGAAAAAUUUUGUGGACUCUUGUUCCAGUUUAUUCUAGAAAUGUUCAGCAUGUUUGGGAAAACUUUGGAUUGCUGUACAAAGUCAACAGCUACAAAGGAGUGGUACCCUGUUUUUCCAGGGCUAUUUUUAUGGCUUCAUAAUUCCUUAAUCACUGUAUGGAUUAAAUUAAACCAGAAGUCACUCAGACAUCUCUAAAAAUUAUCUUAUUGGCAUAACUAACGCACACUCAUGGAUGAAAAUUAGUCUUCCUACCAGCUGAAUCACAGCUUGCUUUUCACUUCUUGUAACAUCUUGCAACAUCACAAAAUAUUUGCUGCAGCUUGCGAAGGGCGGCUGCGGGAUGAGUAAACUGAGAGGAGGCCUUCCUUCACUCCCACCCUGUCAGCACCUUCUGUUCCAGCAGCCUGAAAGGCAGCUUGAGAGCUCUGAUUGCUUCUCCAGAUUAUGACAAUUCCUGGCAUCGUAGCCCUGGGCAAGAAUGGAAGCAAAGGAAACAUGGAGUUUUGCAGGUGUCAGUACAUAAUACUGUCAUUUUACAGAACUGAAUUUAUAAAUGACUCCAUGAAGGAAAACUUGCAUGGUGUGGAGAUAACUGGGAGAGCCAGGUUGCCAUUUCUAAGACUCCCUGAAGACCUGAGAUGGGAUGAAUUUCCUUCCCAAACAAGUAUCAGUCAAGAAGGCCGGGGUGGAUGGCUGGGAUACCGCAGUGGGAAUAAAGGGAGAUGGACAGAGGGCCCUUGCUGAAAAUGUUCCCCUUCUUUAUUUGUUCCUGGACCAAAAGCUGCCGGAAGGUGUCUCUCAGAGUAUACCUUGGUCCUGCUCCUGAGAAAGCCAAACUUGGAAGUGACUAGCAGGUCUAAUUGUGCCUCUGUGGAAUCCAAAUUCUGGAAGGAGUCAAAGAGAAGUCUGGAGGUCUCUGGUGAAGGCGGAUGGAUGAAAUCCAAGCCUCACAAGGACCCAAAAAGCUGUCAGGGUGCCUGGGCAGCAUGGAGCCGAGCUGGACGAUGCAUUCCAGAUGGUUUGCCUGCCUUCCUUGGAGCUGCGGCCAGUUGGAGCUCCCGGGCGGCCUCCCAAGGUAGCCCCCCAGAGGACUCAGGGCAGCUGUCCAGAUGGGAGGGACCAGGCUAAGGAUCACUGGGGCAGGCUCUGAGUUGGAGGGAAGGGGCCUCCUCCUUUGUGCUGAGCAUCUGGAUAUGGUUUUUCAAGCUAUUAAAAACACUACUCUGCUAAAUACAGCCAAUUCAUUUUUAAAAAGCAUUUGGGGGACAGUUCCAGGCCAAGAAAUUACCCCAAAUGGAUCCAAAUCAUUUGGGCCUAUAUGAGACAAGGAAGCUCAGAGAAGGGGCUCUGAAACUUCCUAGUAGGCAUCAGUCACCACACAACCCUCCCCUCAGCUCCGUCUGUUAGCAG